rnacentral:miRNA from 1 species
UAACGGAACCCAUAAUACAGCUG